rnacentral:tRNA from 1 species
GGCUCCGGUGAGAUUCGAACUCACGAUCUCCUGACAACUAGAUCAGGUGCUUUAGGCCAGCUAAGCUACGCAGUCA